rnacentral:tRNA from 1 species
GUUUUUGUAGUUGAGUUUACAACGGUGGUUUUUCAAGCCAUUAGUCCUAGUUAAAGUCUAGGCAAGAAUU